GAUAUAUCCUCUACACAACUUCAGAGCAUAUAUAAGAGAGAGAAACUCUAUGAAUAGAUGAGGCCUCCCUAUGUUGCCUGAGCUGGUCUCAAACUCUUGGUCCUCCUACCUUGACCUCCCAAAGUGAUGGGAUUAUAGCGUGAGCCUGGCCCAGUUACACAGUUCUGUAGGUAUUAUUUUGUACUUUUCACAGUUACCACGUGCAGCAAUGUUGCUUUCUGCUAUUACAUAACAAGA
rnacentral:sRNA from 1 species